rnacentral:rRNA from 1 species
GACGAACGCUGGCGACGUGCUUAACACAUGCAAGUCGAACGGUAAGGCCCUGCUUUUGUGGGGUGCUUGAGUUGCGAACGGGUGAGUAACACGUGAGUAACCUGCCUUUUACUUUGGGAUAACUUCUGGAAACUGUGGCUAAUACCGGAUAGGAGCUCCUGCUGCAUGGUGUGUGCUGGAAAGUUUCGGCGGUUUGGGUAGCACUCGCGGCUUCUCAGCUUGUUGGUGGGGUAGUGGCUUACCAAGGCGUUGACGGGUAGCCAUCCUGAGAGGGUGACCGGCCACAUUGGGACUGAGAUGCGGGCAAGAGUGCUACGGGAGGAAGGGGUGGGGGUUAGAGCGCAAAGGGCGGAAGGCGGAUGGAGCAACGCCGGGUGGGGGAUGACGGCCGUCGGGUUGGAAACCGCUUGCGCGUGUGAAGAAGCGAGAGUGACGGUAAUGGGUAAAGAAGCAACGGCUAACUACGUG